GUUAGAGUAAGCCGACGACGAACACUUGCAUUGACGAACAGAAAACUUCAUACAAGGUUGAAUAGGGACGGAUGAGCUUGCCAAACAAAGCAAAGUCCGAUGCUGCACGAAUUCCACACAGUAAAUGAAGCAGUGACAUGAGUGGAAAGUUAU
rnacentral:ncRNA from 1 species